rnacentral:misc_RNA from 1 species
GAAUAAUUCUUUCAGCCGGCUAUACAUAGUACAUGUCCAUGUAACAUAAAUUUAUUCAUGGACAUACUUGGCCAAAAAAGAAAAUAUUUGAUGAAAGUUUUUUUAAAAAGUUUGCAAUAUUUGAUGUCUCAUCGCGUUUUAAGGUCGAUAGGUAAACUAAUGUCUCAAUUUACUUUUCCAUUGAUAUACAUGAUUAUAUUUUUGCACACCUCAUUUGAAUGAUUCGAUUCCUUUUUUUUUUCAUAGCAUAACUCAUUUGUCAAAUGCUUUCAUUCCAUUUUCAAGGCGUUUUGGAAACACUGGAAAUAAAAUUACGACUAAAUUUAACUUUUAAAGGGUUUAUCAUUUACUCUGUCAUAAACAAAGGACAGAAUACCUUCUGAUUGUAUUUUAUUUAUUCAGUGUACAUAUUCUAACUUAUUCUGUUUCUUAAUAAAAAUAAAAAGAGAUAGACGUUUUUAUAGACAUAUUUCUCAUUAUAUUAUUGUUGUUAUCCAUUAAUUAAUCAGUCAUCAAUCAAUAAAUAAUCAAUUAGAUGUUCCAGGUCAUGUAUAUUGUUAACCUUGUUUUUGUUAUAACUGUACAAAAUAUGUUCUUUUGUCAUUAAAUGAUAUUUAACUAC